rnacentral:rRNA from 1 species
GACGAACGCUGGCGGCGUGCUUAACACAUGCAAGUCGAACGGAAAGGCCCUGCUCUUGUGGGGUGCUCGAGUGGCGAACGGGUGAGUAACACGUGAGUAACCUGCCCUUGACUUUGGGAUAACUCUAGGAAACUGGGGCUAAUACCGGAUAGGAGCUCCUGCUGCACGGUGGGGGUUGGAAAGAUUCGGCGGUUGGGGAUGGACUCGCGGCUUACCAGCUUGUUGGUGGGGUAGUGGCUUACAAAGGCUUUGACGGGUAGCCGGCCUGAGAGGGUGACCGGCCACAUUGGGACUGAGAGACGGCGCAGACUCCUACGGGAGGCAGCAGUGGGGAAUAUUGCGCAAUGGGCGGAAGCCUGAGGCAGCAACGCCGCGUGCGGGAUGACGGCCUUCGAGUUGUAAACCGCUUUCUCCGGUGACGAAGCGUGAGUGACGGUAAUGAGUAAGAAAGCACCGGCUAACUACGUG